AGGCGACGACGGGUAGCCKGCCUGAGAGGGUGACCGGCCACACUGGGACUGAGACACGGCCCAGACUCCUACGGGAGGCAGCAGUGGGGAAUAUUGCACAAUGGGCGCAAGCCKGAUGCAGCGACGCCGCGUGAGGGAUGACGGCCUUCGGGUUGUAAACCUCUUUCAGCAGGGAAGAAGCCACWAGUGACGGUACCUGCAGAAGAAGCGCCGGCUAACUACGUGCCAGCAGCCGCGGUAAUACGUAGGGCGCAAGCGUUGUCCGGAAUUAUUGGGCGUAAAGAGCUCGUAGGCGGUUUGUCGCGUCUGCUGUGAAAGCCCGGGGCUCAACCCCGGGUCUGCAGUGGGUACGGGCAGACUAGAGUGCAGUAGGGGAGACUGGAAUUCCUGGUGUAGCGGUGAAAUGCGCAGAUAUCAGGAGGAACACCGAUGGCGAAGGCAGGUCUCUGGGCUGUUACUGACGCUGAGGAGCGAAAGCAUGGGGAGCGAACAGGAUUAGAUACCCUGGUAGUCCAUGCCGUAAACGUUGGGCACUAGGUGUGGGGGACAUUCCACGUUCUCCGCGCCGUAGCUAACGCAUUAAGUGCCCCGCCUGGGGAGUACGGA
rnacentral:rRNA from 1 species